UGCGAAGGGGGCUAGCGUUGUUCGGAAUUACUGGGCGUAAAGCGCGCGCAGGCGGUCUUCCAAGUCAGUGGUGAAAGCCCGGAGCUCAACUCCGGAAUUGCCAUUGAAACUGUGAGACUGGAGUACGAGAGAGGUGAGUGGAAUUCCCAGUGUAGAGGUGAAAUUCGUAGAUAUUGGGAAGAACACCGGUGGCGAAGGCGGCUCACUGGCUCAUUACUGACGCUCAUGCGCGACAGCGUGGGGAUCAAACAGG
rnacentral:rRNA from 1 species